rnacentral:rRNA from 1 species
GACGAACGCUGGCGGCGCGCUUAACACAUGCAAGUCGAGCGAGAACCGGUCCUUCGGACCGGGGACGAGCGGCGAACGGGUGAGUAACACGUGGGUAAUCAACCCCUGACACUGGGAUAGCCCGGGAAACUCGGAUUAAUACCGGAUGGCCCAACAGCUCCUCGGGGCGGUUGGAAAAGGUAGCUUCGGCCUCCGGUCAGGGACGAGCCCGCGGCGGAUUAGCUUGUUGGUGAGGUAACGGCUCACCAAGGCGACGAUCCGUAGCUGGUCUGAGAGGACGAUCAGCCACACUGGGACUGAGACACGGCCCAGACUCCUACGGGAGGCAGCAGUGGGGAAUCUUGCACAAUGGGCGGAAGCCUGAUGCAGCGACGCCGCGUGAGGGAAGAAGGCUUUCGGGUUGUAAACCUCUUUCAGAAGGGACGAAGCCACUCAGGUUAAUAGCCGAGAGGGUGACGGUACCUUCAGAAGAAGCCCCGGCUAACUACGUGCCAGCAGCCGCG